AAAGUUCAAUUAGGCCCUUAUAUUUUAUUAUUUGAAUUUAUCUGAUUAGGUGCGGCGCGACUAGGACGUUACUUUUAUUUGAUUUACUCAAGUUAGCAUACAAGUUGAAGUUCAAGUUCAAGUUCAAAAUUCAGGUGUGGGAUUUAUUUCAGUACAUGCUGUGGUUAAUCUUUGUCCAUUUUAAUAUUAUGUGUUUUCCAUAUGUGUUGUAAAUUCAGUUAUAUCGCUAGGGGCCCGUUCAAUGGGUCCAGGACUUCACCGUCCUUGGUAUGCCACAAUGCGAUUUCAUGUUACAGUUAUGGUUGCAACCAGUCGCCAGGGGCCGGCUCAAUCGGUCCAGGACGGAAAGGUCCUUGGUAUGCCACAGUGCGACUUUCAGUUACGAAUGUAUUGAUCAUAUGUGAUUCUCAUUUUAUUAACGUGGACAAUGAUUGCAUGUUCCCACACUGAGUGUACCCUGUAUGCUCAUCCCAUAUUUAACAUUUUCAGGUUUUUAAAGGCCGGAGGCGCGUGGAAGGUCGAAUGGCGAAUCAAAUAUUUUGAAUUUAGUUUUACUUAAAAAUGUUAUGUUUAGUAAAGUAUUUUUAAAUAAAAUAUUUAUUUCACUAUUUUCUUGUUAAAUAUUUAUUUAUAGUCAUGAUUUUCCGCGUGCGUUUUCAUUUAAAAUUAAAAUGGAUUUGG
rnacentral:lncRNA from 1 species